rnacentral:rRNA from 1 species
UACGGAGGGGGCUAGCGUUGUUCGGAAUUACUGGGCGUAAAGCGCGCGUAGGCGGCUUUGUAAGUUAGAGGUGAAAGCCCGGAGCUCAACUCCGGAAUUGCCUUUAAGACUGCAUCGCUAGAAUCAUGGAGAGGUGAGUGGAAUUCCGAGUGUAGAGGUGAAAUUCGUAGAUAUCGGAAGGAACAUCAGUGGCGAAAGCGACUUCCUGGACCAAUACUGACGCUCAUGUGCGAAAGCGGGGGGAGCAAACAGG